GCCAGGCACGGUGGUGCGUGCCUGUAUUCUCGGCUACUUGGGAGGCUGAGGUGGGAGGAUCAUCUGAGCCCGGGGAGGUUGAGGCUGCAGUGAGCCAUGAUUGCACCGCUGCACUCCAGCCUGGGCAACAGAGUGAGACCCUGCCUCAA
ensembl:misc_RNA Metazoa_SRP Metazoan signal recognition particle RNA